UGGGACUGAGACACGGCCCAAACUCCUACGGGAGGCAGCAGUGGGGAAUUUUGCACAAUGGGGGAAACCCUGAUGCAGCGGCGCCGCGUGAGUGAGGAAGUAUUUCGGUAUGUAAAGCUCUAUCAGCAGGGAAGAAAAUGACGGUACCUGACUAAGAAGCCCCGGCUAACUACGUGCCAGCAGCCGCGGUAAUACGUAGGGGGCAAGCGUUAUCCGGAUUUACUGGGUGUAAAGGGAGCGUAGACGGUUAAUCAAGUCAGAAGUGAAAACCCAGGGCUCAACCUUGGGACUGCUUUUGAAACUGAGUAGCUAGAGUGCAGGAGAGGUAAGCGGAAUUCCUAGUGUAGCGGUGAAAUGCGUAGAUCUUAGAAAGAACACCAGUGGCGAUGGGGGUUUAACGGACUGUUAAUGACGUAAAGGCUUGAAAGCGUGGGGAGCAAACAGCAUUAGAUACCCUGGUAGUCCACGCCGUAAACGAGGAAUACUAGGUGUCAGGUCGCAAAGCUCUUCGGUGCCGCAGCAAACGCAUUAAGUAUUCCACUUGGGGAGUACGUUUGCAAGAAUGAAACUCAAAGGAAUAGACGCGCACCCGCACAAGCGGUGGAGCAUGUGGUUUAAUUCGAAGCAACCCGAAGAACCUUACCAAGUCUUGACAUCCCUGUGAAGAGGAAGUAAUGUUCCUUUUCCUUCGGGACAGAGGAGACAGGUGGUGCAUGGUUGUCGUCAGCUCGUGUCGUGAGAUGUUGGGUUAAGUCCCGCAACGAGCGCAACCCUUACCUUCAGUAGCCAGCGAGUAAAGUCGGGCACUCUGGAGGGACUGCCAGGGAUAACCUGGAGGAAGGUGGGGAUGACGUCAAAUCAUCAUGCCCCUUAUGAUUUGGGCUACACACGUGCUACAAUGGCGUAAACAAAGGGAAGCGAAGCCGUGAGGUGAAGCAAAUCCCAAAAAUAACGUCUCAGUUCGGAUUGUAGUCUGCAACUCGCCUACAUGAAGUUGGAAUCGCUAGUAAUCGCG
rnacentral:rRNA from 1 species